rnacentral:rRNA from 1 species
GGGUCUUCUAAAACUGUAAUACCUUUAUUUUUCACGAAACCAUACGAGCUAAAUUCAAUAUCAAAUUAGUUGAAAAUUAUUUAAUGUGGCAAUAUUAAAAACAUAGUUGCAAUUUAGGGGUGAAACAUCUAACAAGUUUGGGGAUAUCUUGAAAAUAAAGAAAUAUAUUUAGUAUAUAAUACAAUCUAAAAAUGAUAAGGUUUUUAAACAACAUUAUAAUAGAAUUUAAUUUAGUAGAAUUAAUAAAAUAAACUAAAACUAAAAAUAUUAUUACAAUAUACUAAAAAUAUAUGUGUUAUAUUUAUUACUUUUGUUUGACUUUUUUUAAAAUUUCUUAUGAAUAUAUAAGUAUUAAUUAAAUUUUAGAUAAGGAACUCGGCAAAAAGGAUUCUCGCCUGUUUAUCAAAAACAUUUGCCUUAAGUAAUAAUUUUAGGUAAGCCCUGCUCAAUGACUUGUUAAAUAGCCGCAGUACCCUGACUGUGCAAAGGUAGCAUAAUCAAUUGGCUUAUAAUUGAAGUCUGGAAUGAACGGGUCAUACGGGAACCAUCUGUCUCAUUAAAAAAAAAGAAAUUACUUAUCAAGUGAAAAUUCUUGAUCGAGAGAUAAAAGACGAGAAGACCCUAGAAAUUUUUUAAAAAUUAGUAUAAAUAUUUUGUUGGGGCGACAUGAUAGCAAGGUUAACCUAUCAAAGAAAAUAUGAAUCUUAUAAGAUGCGUAAAUAAAUUACUCUAGGGAUAACAGCAUAAUAUUAAAAAGUUUGUGACCUCGAUGUUGGACUAGGAACUAAUUUGUUUAAAAGAUGAAUUAUACAGCUCUGUUCGAGCAAUACUUCCUACAUGAUCUGAGUUCAGACCGG